CCCGCGCCCGCUUGGACAGCUCCGCGGCGGCGGCUGCUCCGGCUGCCACCUCCGCGUCCUCCUCCCGAAGCGAGGGGCUCCCCCGCCUCGUCACGCCGCCGGCUCCAUGGGGUCGGACCGGAGCCUCUCCUCUCCGCCGCCCCCGGUGGUGCCCGGCGCUCCUCGGGGCGCUCCGCCGCUCCCGUCCGGCGACGCUCCGGGAGACGCCGAGGUCUCCUCUCGCCGUCCGGCUUAUCCCCGUCAGCGCUCGGCUCCUCGCGGCGGCGCGGGCAGCAGCCGGGUGACGGGGGUUAUUGGGGUUAUUGUCAUUAUCUCCCUCUUCCCCUGUGGUUCUGCGUCUCUCCACCACUUUCAGACCAGCCCAUUAUAACGCCGGCGAGAGGCGGAGCCAGGACGGAGAUCUGAAAGGGUGGUGGGUGGGGAAGCAAAGGUAGCAAAGGUGGGUAUGCCCUAAUAGCCGUAUCGGAGCCGCAAUUAGCCCAGAUGACAGCGAGGUCUGGUUGGAAAGUCUUAUUUAUUUAUUUAUUUAUUUAUUUAUUUUAUGAAACGCGAGUGUAUUUUCUCCUGCCGGCUGCCUCCUCCACGCCGGCCGCUCCGAGCGGAGCAGAUCUCCACGGGAUCCGGAGCUCCAGCCCCGCUCCAGGUGCAGCGUGCGGAGCGGCUCAUAGGUGGCAGAGCAGAACCUGCCGCGCCUCGAUCUGCGCUCUCGGCGCCGCGCAGAGCGGCUCGUUGCGAUGUAUGUGACAGCGCAACAACCUGUUGGAACACCGCGCCGCUCCGCAGCUGGGGAUCCCUCGUGGUUUGUGUGGGCCGACGGCCUCGGCCCCUCUCCCCUGCCGUCAUAACAAGGGUGCAGGGCGAGGUGGGAGCAGGUAGGCAGCGCUGCGUGACGGGAGAGGCUGCCACAGCUUUACCCUUGGCUUUGAGCGUGCUGCUGAUGCCUUCCGAUGGCUGUGCGCAGUGUUAGAGCUGUCGCUCUCCAAUAAAAUCUUUUAUUGUGUUUUUUUCUUUUUUUCUUUUUUAAAAAGCGACUUUGCUUUAACUUUUUCCUAACGCUGCGACUAUAAGUCUUCCAUGAAACCCGGGACGAAGCGCUCUGUGACUUUAUCUGGCUGCUUUUCUUCCGAGACAAAAUAACCACGAUUGUCCAUUCGCUUUCAGCUCUGCGCUCGUCGUGGUCUUACGCCCCUUUCUGAGGGCAGAUGUUCAGUCCCCUCCAGCAGUGCUGGAUGGGACGCUUCAACGAUGAGAGGGAGACAGCAGUAACUCCACUGAAAACUUCAGUCCUACCCUGCUGUCCAUUCAAAGUCAAUUGCAAAACCCCUUUUUGACUCCAUACGGCAGUAAAGCUGGCGUCUGCAGAACAGUACCAAAACAAAAACAUCAGCAGAAAUCCAGAGUGGUGCUUCUAUUCUAUUUCUCUUAUGGACACUUUGAAUGUCGUGUCCUGGAGUAAGAGUUGGAUUGCUCCAUGUUUUCCAAAAGCAGUCUUUCUGAAUCAGCCCUUAUUUUAGGAUGGAUGCUCCAAAAUGCAGCGUCACUCUGGCUGGGACUAUGCCGUGCCCCAGCUGCCAAGGCGUGCCGGAGAGGAACUUAAAAGAAGGCAGAUUUGAAAGACCCUCAGAAGAAACAAACAGCCCUACUUUCGUUCCCCAUCUCUUUUGAAUAGAAGAAACAUUCCCACACACACCUGCACAACAUUUCAAAGCUUUGCCAUUUUUUUUUUCCCAGCCUCAUAUUGAGUCUUAAAUACUAAACAGUAAGAGGUCCCCCUGUCCUUUUUGGUCAUACUCUUUCUAACUUUAAUAAUGGGUUUGAUGCCUUCCUGUUCCCACUAAAGCUGUAGCAGUUGAGAAAAAUGGGCAAUUGAGGAACAAAAAUAAGAGGAGGGAGACCUCUCUUGGCUUCUUGUUGUUCUCCCCGCGCAAUGUAAACUGAGAUCUUUCAGUGAAGCACUGCGUUAGCUGUAGGUGCCAAUGUUUGUGUUUAAGGGUAUGGGAAAAAGCCAUCGUUCCUUCCAAAACUCGUGUUUUCUAAGAUGAUGCCAGUGGCGAGGGUAGGUUUUUCCUCUUCCUGCUUUUGUUAUAAAUGGCAGCAAAGUAGUGAUGAUUUUCUAGCUUACCUUUGAUGUUUAUUUUAUUACCGUUCCACUAUUUGUGUGGAAAAUGUACACAUUGUCUCUUAUCUUUAUUCAAAGAACUUAAAAAGUCAUUCAAAUGCUGUAGGUAAACACGUCAGACAUAACAGAAGCUUUUCACAGCCAUACUUCAAGACAAGGAGUGGAUGGCAAAGCUGGUUUUGCAGGAUUUAAGAGAGGACAGGAGCUUGUGCUCAAAAUAACACAAUUAGAGAUAGCUAUUAGUGGCUAUUAGUGGAGUGGGGGUACCUUCCUAAGAUCAACGUUGAUUCUUGUGUGGGCUCAAGGCCUCCGUGCUGCCUCUCAGCCAAUCCCUGUGUAAAUUGACCCAGGAAUCCAAUGUGGCUCCUACCUGGGAAAACACAUGAAGGUGCUUACGUGAGGGCUGAGCAUGGUUUAAAGAGAACCUUCCCAAGCCAAGCAGGAGUGAAGUCAAGACCGCUGCUAUUGCUGCCCAUGAAGGAAUGGGUGUAGUUUUAAGAAGAGGCAAAGUAGUACAACUGCUCCUGUCUCUCACCACUGAGAGUGUAUGUAACCUCAAGUCUUUUCCUGCUAUAGUUUUUUAAAAGGCACAGUAUCGCCUUCAGGUUUAUAAAGAUUAACACAAUCAUCGGAAAAACUGAUUCUGUUAAGUAAACUUCACAUCAAAAGCGCUUUGAUGUGCUGUGUUAUAGCAAAGCCAAACACUCCACCCCCAUCACCCCAAGAAAAACCUCCAAAAACCUUUUAGUGAAGCAAUGUGAAAAAAAAUCCAGAUUCUUUGUUCUAAAAUGGAAUGUCUCUUCCUCUUGAGAGCAGCAGAGCAGCACUUUUUUUUUUGAUGUAUGACCCCCUCUUUUCCUACCCAAAACAGUACCUAAUCAAAAACAAAGAAAAGAAACGUGAAUGGUGCGUCACAAAUCACACACACAGCUUUACUUCCCAUUUUCUUUAGUAUUUGACUCCUUUAUUUCAGAGUUUGCCAAUGAGUGUUUGAAGGAAAGGAAAUUUGCUCAACCUUUAAGUUCUGGAAUUAUCCCCCACUAAAUGUAGCAAAAUGCUACACCGUUGUGUGGUUUUGGGUAUGUUUUUGGUCUACCCCAUUGUGUUACUUUCGUGGUACUUUAAGCCAAGAUUUGACUGUACACUCCAGCGAAUAUUACGUAAAGGUGGGUUGCUCUAUGGACUUGAUUUUAUUAUUACUACUAUUUUUGAUCUUUCUUUUUCACUUGAUCCUUUCUUACUCUCUUUUCUGUCCCUUGUCCCUCCAGAUGGCUAACUAGAUUAGAGAGUACUUCCAGAUAAGAUCUUAUAAGCACAGUUGGUCAACAAAUACCUCUGUGUUGACUGGGCGAGUCUUAUAGCUAGUGGUAGGCAAGCUUAUUUGUACAUCUGAGAUGUCCGGCACAGCAGCUGGACAAAGUGCUUCAUCAUCUCUUUUCCUCCUCCUGUAGAAAGCUGCAGGAGUGCUGUGCCUUGCCAGGAAUGAUGAAAUUGGACAAUGCAAUACGCUACACGAACAACAAUAGACCAGUUCAAAGAGUUCUCUUUGGAUGGGCUGCUCACAGCAGGAGACUUGCCUAGCAUGCAUAAAUGAACUACAGAGUCUGUGGAGGUUGGCUAAUUACACUAUAUACAUUUUUAUAGUUGAAGGAAAUCCAGCUGGAGACUAAGCUGUAAGAAAGGAGGUCAGUGGAAAUUCAUUUAGACCUUGAGAGGAAGAGUUUGAUCACUGAGGUAGAAUGCAUGUCUGCGUGAAUCCCCUCAUUGUGAACUCUACGGAUUUGCACUUUUCCACAGGAACAAGCAUUCCCUUGGGGUAGGGAUUCCCAUGUGUCUUUGGCAAAUAUCGAGAGCUGAAUUUACAGUGGGGACUUCCAUUUUGACUUGUUUUUUUAUAACACAAUGUUUAGUUUCUUGGGAGUUGUUGCUUGAGAAGAAAUUUUCCCAUGCCCAAAGACUUAGAAUCAUUUCCUCCCUGUGCCCACUUCACGUCCCAUUCAAAAGUCCUCAUCUCAGCAAAUUUUUCCUUUGUACUGGAUUGUGACAGAAUGGGCAGGGACAGAUUUUUCCCCUGUGAAGAGGAUGACAUUAUUGCUGUUGUUACUAAUGCUUCGUACUACAAAAGUAAUUCCGUGUUCUCACACUGUCCUUCCCACACAGAUCUCAGAGCUCACCCAGUUUACAGCCAAGAGGAGUGAAGGGGAGAUGUCCUGCUGAAAUCUGUUUGGCAAGUCAGUAGCAACGCCGUCUGUAGAACUGAGCUCUUCAGAGUCUUCAUCCUGUGCUGUAUCCACUGAGGUAUCCCCUGCGAGGCCUAAUCAGAAGUGUUGUGCCAUUUAGCAACCGCUGCCGGAACUGGAAUCGUGCUGUCAUGAGUCUCAGAUAACUUACAGGCUUUCCUCGUGGAUGAUUACCUGGUUUCAUCUAACUGCAGCAAGAGAAAGAAAAUCCAAAUGCUGAAGGACUUACAGGCUUGUGGAUCUCUUUGAGAAGAUUAUAACAGCUAGAAAGAAACCGAUACAAGAUGAAAGCACAAGUAUUGAUAAGUCCGAAUGUAAUUAUCAGGACAGAACUGCUUGCUAAGAGACAGACUCCGCAAUUACAAGUUGUGUUGUGUUAUGUUUGUUACGAAGUUAUGAUUCAGAAGCUGUUUGGUGAAAUCCUGUGGCUCUUUGCCAGGAAUGGUGAAUGUUUCUCGUUACUGGUGCCAAACAAACUAAAAAAGAAACCAUCAUAGCUUCUUACUGCUGGUGCCAGACCAAAUACCUGUUGGCACCAAACUUGGUAUUGGUGCCAAAGGCUUGCUAUCACUGGCCUGUGAUAUGAGGAAACACUGGCUGAGUUGUCACAGUAGCCUUUUAUUGCCUCUACGUCCAUGCAUUGAGCAGAGUGAGCAACAUGGUAGGAGUACAAGAAAAUUAAUCGAAAGCUGAAGGGCUUUGAAUGUGUAAUGAAGUCACUGAACUUUGCUAGCCCUUUCUGGAAUCACCUAAGCCAGUUCAAAAACAUAUGUAUUUUACAUGGGUAAACAAGUGACUAGAGAUAGCGAAGGAUAUGUUUCCAUUCAAUUGAGUUACAGUACUAUUUAUAGCACUGUGGAUUAACAAAUGAGUCACCCUGCCAAUAAUAUUCCAGCUGAAUAACAAUAAGUAUUCCACAUUCUUAUUUCUGUUUUUUUUUUUUUUUUUUAAAUUUAUGUUCUUUGUUUUCAAAAAGCUUUUUUUUCUGUGUGGAAUCCAUUUGUUUAUAUAAGCAUUAACCAAAAAUGUGAAUAAAUAAUGGUGUAAAAAACUUGGAAUUUUGUUGUUGUGUUUUGUUGUUGUUGUUGUUUGUUUUCUCUUGUUUUGUUUGUCAGGAUCAAGUGAACUGCAUUAUUCAGGAGCAGGCUGCAGUGGCCUUCCUGAGGUUCCACAGAAAUAAAUAGGAGGCUUUACUUUCAGUGCAACCUAUGUAUGUGAAUUCUGCUUUCCAGAGAGUGAGUUCUCAGAACUGCUGCCUGAAAUUGUAAAUGCCUACACAUGUUGUCACAUCAAGGGCUUGUCAUCAUCUCAACUCAAAGCAGGUGUUUGCAACACAUGAAGCAAUCACCUGGGAUACGCUAGAGAGCUCUACAUGUAUUUGAGCCUGGAUACUGCUCACUCAUUAUCCUUGCUGAUGCAGAAGGUCUGUUUUGUAACAUCUUUCUAUGAAAAGCUAGAACAUCAGUGCUUGCUCCUGGAAAAGGGCCAGUGUGAGUCAUCUUGUGCAGUGUGGCAUGACUCUGAGGGUUCAAAGAAGGACUUGGCGAUUUCAGAGGCUCUAAAAAUAAGGUUAAUAAACAGGUGCUCUGCAGAGGGUCAUUGUAUAUCCCACAAGUUGCCGUGCCUUGCAUCUCUCCUCCCAGCAUUAUUUACUGCAGUGAGAACUUGCUGCUUGUGUAGAUGGAACAAAUGAUCGUGGGAUGGGGUCUGCCCCACAAGGAUGCCAGUCAGGGUCAGAUCUUUAUACUUCUGUGCAAGCCAACACAAGUAUUCCUACUGGGACCAUUUUGCCUGUAAGAGCCAAAGAUUUUAAGGCUAGAUAUGAAUCAUGUUUUCCCAUAUGCAUAGAACAAGCCAUGGAGCAGCGCAGUGCAAUUUCUGCAUCAAGCCCAGCGCGACUAUUUGAACCCCAGCACCUUUUCAGAAAGCCAGCUGCAACUUCAAGCUGCAAGUGACAGCAAGUCUACAGCAUCCAUGUAUAAACUUACCCUGGCAUUGGAUUCUGAUCUGAAUUUCUUUAUCCUCAGCUCCAGAAUGUAAGCUGUCCUCAUGCUUCUCUUUUUUCCACAGACUGUUAAACUAAGAAGAUGUUGGAUAAUGGAAAAUUUCUAACUUUUUUUUCCAUCAGUUUAAGCAUUGUCACCCCACCUCAAGUCCCUCCUCCCCCAAUAAUCCAGUUAUUAUAUGUAUAUCUAAUCCAUUAAUUCAUUUCAUUUAUAAGAAAAGAUAAAAACACGAAAAGAUUAAAAUGAAUUGAUGUUCUCUGCCACACCCAGCCCAACACAUGCUCAGUCCAAGUUCUGAUACUAAAUCUUACUUCUCCAUUCAUAGAGUCAUAUUAUAGAAUCAAAGAAACAGAGAGCUGUUAAGGUUGGAAAAGAACUCUGAGACCAUCAAGUCCAUCCAUCAAUUCAUCACCACCAUGCCCACUAAACCACGUCCCCAAAUGGAAUCAUAGAAUCAUAGAAUAAUAAUCAUUCUGGAUUACAACAGUUUUCACCUUAUUUUGCAGCUCUUACUGCCAGCUUGCUAUCAGAGAAUAUUGCCUCAUAACUGCAUUUGAGGUGACUUCCAGUUGUGCUACAUGAUCCGAUCCUUACUAUGUAAGCCACCAAUGCAGUCAUGUCUUGUGGGAUUACUGCAAGAUUCAUCCAUGCUUGUAAUGCUAAGAUAAGACAAAGGCCAUCAAAGCAGAAUAUGUUAUUAAUUAGUAAUUAGAUAACUACAAUGAAUUAAAAUGGGUUGGAAGAAGUCUUUCAUUCUGCAUUGAACCCUUCUUUCGAAAUAAAGGGUGGUUUCCUUACAGGGAAAACCAUAAGAAAAAAAUCAAUCAAAAUAAACAUAUGCUAAUUAUACUCCUGGGCCUGCUUACAUGUCAAAACUAUUUUGAAAAUAUUGCUUCAUUGUUGAGGGUUAGUGUAGUUUAACAGCCAGUGGCGGAACAUGUCCUAAGUAGGGAUUUUCCAUUGCAUACAGCAAUUACAGACAAUUGACAUUUGAUUAUAAUAACCAGCAAACUUUCAUGAAAUAAAUGACACCUGAGCAAGUUUCAUAACCUUUUGCCUCGCCCCACCUUGGAAUGCGUCAGAGCUGCUUGAAGGCUAGGAAUGUUUCUUUCACUUGCAAACAGAAUUAUUUCAAACCAAGGGAGUGCAGAGCUGUCUGGAGACGGGCUCUGAUAGCCAGCCUGUGUACUGUGUCCAGUGGCUUUUAGACCUAUUUACUUAUGUGCUGUUCAGAAUACAUGGCAAGGAACAAAAUGACACAGGGCCUGGACUGUCUUCCACGUCUGUGUAGGGAUUGUAUCCUUGCAUCCAAAAAUGGAUCUAUUUCCUGGGUCUAUUCAACAAUGUCUUGUACUUACACCAGUUCUCUACUUACGUCAGUGAAGGAAGAGGCAAGGUGGUGCUUCCAAGUCAGGCUCAUUUUGCACAGGGAUGCAGAUAUCAUUCCAUUGUUUUUAGUGCCUGCAUUUUGAGCAGCAGCAGACACUGCACAACCACUCAGCUCUCUAACUGUUGGAAAUUUGCUUGCUUAAUGACCAAGUCCAGCUAAAUUACCAAAACUGCACAAAAAGUGUGCCAAGACAGUUAGAUCUGCUGGUGUCUCUGGCUAUGAAUAGUAAUGGGUGAAGACAUGGCACAAAAAAGACACAGCAUUGCUUCCAGCAAGGUUGGUAUAACUGUAUUUCCAUAGAUAGAAAGUUUCCAUUGCAAUCUCAGUCACACACAGUUCCCUCAUGGAAGCAAAGUUGACUUUAUUUGAAGUACAGCAACAAAGAAAAAGACUGAGAAAACAGAUUUGUACUAUCUCGAUGCUAGCUGGAGAAUGAAGCACUGCUACCACACUAUAUGCUGAGAUUUGUUGCCUAGAUUAUUGCUUUUCAGCACCUCCAAAUCUGUUCUUCCCUGCCAUAUAGCCACUGGUCUUCACUAUCAUCUAUUCUCCCUCUGGAUCUAAGGAGGUCACCAUCCCUGGAGGUGUUCAAGAAUUGUUUGGAUAUGGCACUGAAGGACAUGAUUUACCAGACAUGAUGGUGGUGGGUUGAUGGUUGGACUAGAUGAUCUUAUUGGUCUUUUCCAACCUUAAUGAUUCGAUGAUUCAUACUAAAGAGUGUAUCUGGAGCUGAGAAACGUUAGUCUAUCUUGCUUCUCUUCCUUUCUGCUAGGAAGGAACAAACCCUUGCAGUUGCAGCAGUCAAUGUAACUGAUGUGAAUCAGGAUAACAGAGGCAGCAUGGAUAGUGUCUGGAAGAUAUUUCAGAUACUUAACGGCUGCACAGUGCUGAGAACACUUUUACAAUGUAAUAGGACAAUAUUUAUUAGGUGCCUGGCAAUCCCAUUGUUUUGUGCCCACUCUCAGUUUUUGCUAUUUUUUAAGAGACUGUGAAGUUUAUUCAUCUUACAUGUAAUGAAGAGCUUAACUGUUCUGACACCUGAACUUUUGAGAACUCUUAAGAACUCUUAAUUGCUCAGCUUAGAAAAAGUCUAGGCCCAGCACAGAACAGAUGUAUAGUAAUAAACUUAUCUCAUAAUGUCAAA
ensembl:lncRNA